CAGCAGCCGCGGUAAUACGUAGGGUGCAAGCGUUAAUCGGAAUUACUGGGCGUAAAGCGUGCGCAGGCGGUUUGUUAAGACAGAUGUGAAAUCCCCGGGCUCAACCUGGGAACUGCAUUUGUGACUGGCAAGCUAGAGUGUGGCAGAGGGGGGUGGAAUUCCGCGUGUAGCAGUGAAAUGCGUAGAUAUGCGGAGGAACACCGAUGGCGAAGGCAGCCCCCUGGGCCAACACUGACGCUCAGGUGCGAAAGCGUGGGGAGCAAACAGGAUUAGAUACCCGAGUAGUCCCUGUCUCUUAUAC
rnacentral:rRNA from 1 species